GAUGAACGCUGGCGGCGUGCCUAAUACAUGCAAGUCGAGCGAACGGACGAGAAGCUUUCUUUUCUGAUGUUAGCGGCGGAAGGGUGAGUAACACGUGGAUAACCUACCUAUAAGACUGGGAUAACUUCGGGAAACCGGAGCUAAUACCGGAUAAUAUUUUGAACCGCAUGGUUCAAAAGUGAGAGACGGUCUUGCUGUCACUUAUAGAUGGAUCCGCGCUGCAUUAGCUAGUUGGUAAGGUAACGGCUUACCAAGGCAACGAUGCAUAGCCGACCUGAGAGGGUGACCGGCCACACUGGAACUGAGACACGGUCCAGACUCCUACGGGAGGCAGCAGUAGGGAAUCUUCCGCAAUGGGCGAAAGCCUGACGGAGCAACGCCGCGUGAGUGAUGAAGGUCUUCGGAUCGUAAAACGCUGUUAUUAGGGAAGAACAUAUGUGUAAGUAACUGUGCACAUCUUGACGGUACCUAAUCAGAAAGCCCCGGCUAACUACGUG
rnacentral:rRNA from 1 species